UACGGAAGGGGCAAGCGUUGUUCGGAAUCAUUGGGCGUAAAGGGCGCGCAGAUGGCUCUGUAUGUCUGCCGUGAAAGCAUACAGCUCAACUGUAUUGUGUCGGUAGAAACUGCAGGACUUGAGGCUGGGAGGGGCUGGUGGAAUUCCCUGUGUAGCGGUGAAAUGCGUAGAGAUGGGGGAGAACACUCGUGGCGAAGGCGGCCAGCUAGACCAGUUCUGACACUGAGGCGCGACAGCGUGGGGAGCAAACAGG
rnacentral:rRNA from 1 species